UUUGUAUUGAAUAGUAAAAAUUAAACGAAAUAAAAGAUGAUAAAAUUAAAGAGUUGAUUAAAAAUCAAAAGAAAAAGAAAUACUACACCCGACCGAUCUCAACACUCGCAGAGCAUAUUGUGACUUGGUGUGCUACUAACCUACAAACAUACUUACCUAUGUUAUAUACUAUAUAGUAUACACUAUACUGAUUCCGAUUUUGUUUGAACCGUCCUUAUUACUUAAGUUAGUAAUUGGGUAUAUUUUGGGAUAAAUCUUGUAAUUUUGAUUAAUAAUGUAAACAAAUUAUACUUCAAGUUUUUAGGUUAUUUUUAACAAACGCUGUGUGACCAUGUAAUAACAGUAUACUAAAACAUAUAAAUCUUGUAUUUAUAUUACUAAUUAAUGAUAUUUAAUAGUAAUUAAGUAACAAAUUGAAUUUACGAGGCCACUUACACACUUGAAGCAUUUAGAAUGAUUCAAAACCAUAGGGAUGAAUGUAACGGAUCUCUUGGGCAACAGUUAGAUACAGAGAGAAGGAAUUUGUGUUGUUUCAUGUCUCAUCGCACGUUCUGAAGCGCACUCUCCAUCUCGAUUGACCCACUUGGUAAACAGGACAAAACCAUAGAGUUGAGUAGUCAAACUGGAAGGUGUAAUGUACAAAAUACAUGAUCAAUUAUUGUGUUGGCACUUGGUCAUCGCAAACAAAGUCCCGGUUUAUUCGAAUAAACCAAACUGGUAACUGUGUAUAUAGCUAUCACACGACCCACUCUUGGUUUCGAACCGGAUGUUAAAUAGCGCAAAACAAUAAAAAAAAAUAACUCACUAUUCUUUAUUCUAUUUAUGAUUAUGUGAGUCUAAAAUGUAUCUUUAUCAUCAAAUUAUUGAGUAAAAGAAGAUUUAACUUUAAUAACAUUCAGUUAUUACAUAUGAUAUUAAAGAUUAAUACACCAAUAAA